CCCGAAUGGCCUCUACUCCUGCACCUAUUGUCUAUGUUUCUAUUAAAGCCACAUUUGCAGAUUCUACCUCCAGAACGGCCCAAAAUCGCUGAUAAACAGCCACUGACAGCCAGCACAUCCAGUGAGCGCUAACCAGUUGCUAACUAGCGGUUAACCCGCCUCAACUAGCGAUAAAUCCCAUUUGUGUGUGUUUUCACCAUUUUAGCACCAAACCGGCCCCAAAUCGGUGGGUUGGGAUGUAAUGUUA